UUAAGCGACUAAGCGUACACGGUGGAUGCCCUGGCAGUCAGAGGCGAUGAAGGACGUGCUAAUCUGCGAUAAGCGUCGGUGAGGUGAUAUGAACCGUUAUAACCGGCGAUUUCCGAAUGGGGAAACCCAGUGUGUUUCGACACACUAUCAUUAACUGAAUCCAUAGGUUAAUGAGGCGAACCGGGGGAACUGAAACAUCUAAGUACCCCGAGGAAAAGAAAUCAACCGAGAUUCCCCCAGUAGCGGCGAGCGAACGGGGAGGAGCCCAGAGCCUGAAUCAGUGUGUGUGUUAGUGGAAGCGUCUGGAAAGGCGCGCGAUACAGGGUGACAGCCCCGUACACAAAAAUGCACAUACUGUGAGCUCGAUGAGUAGGGCGGGACACGUGGUAUCCUGUCUGAAUAUGGGGGGACCAUCCUCCAAGGCUAAAUACUCCUGACUGACCGAUAGUGAACCAGUACCGUGAGGGAAAGGCGAAAAGAACCCCGGCGAGGGGAGUGAAAAAGAACCUGAAACCGUGUACGUACAAGCAGUGGGAGCCUCUUAAUGGGGUGACUGCGUACCUUUUGUAUAAUGGGUCAGCGACUUAUAUUCUGUAGCAAGGUUAACCGAAUAGGGGAGCCGAAGGGAAACCGAGUCUUAACUGGGCGUUAAGUUGCAGGGUAUAGACCCGAAACCCGGUGAUCUAGCCAUGGGCAGGUUGAAGGUUGGGUAACACUAACUGGAGGACCGAACCGACUAAUGUUGAAAAAUUAGCGGAUGACUUGUGGCUGGGGGUGAAAGGCCAAUCAAACCGGGAGAUAGCUGGUUCUCCCCGAAAGCUAUUUAGGUAGCGCCUCGUGAAUUCAUCUCCGGGGGUAGAGCACUGUUUCGGCAAGGGGGUCAUCCCGACUUACCAACCCGAUGCAAACUGCGAAUACCGGAGAAUGUUAUCACGGGAGACACACGGCGGGUGCUAACGUCCGUCGUGAAGAGGGAAACAACCCAGACCGCCAGCUAAGGUCCCAAAGUCAUGGUUAAGUGGGAAACGAUGUGGGAAGGCCCAGACAGCCAGGAUGUUGGCUUAGAAGCAGCCAUCAUUUAAAGAAAGCGUAAUAGCUCACUGGUCGAGUCGGCCUGCGCGGAAGAUGUAACGGGGCUAAACCAUGCACCGAAGCUGCGGCAGCGACGCUUAUGCGUUGUUGGGUAGGGGAGCGUUCUGUAAGCCUGUGAAGGUGGCCUGUGAGGGUUGCUGGAGGUAUCAGAAGUGCGAAUGCUGACAUAAGUAACGAUAAAGCGGGUGAAAAGCCCGCUCGCCGGAAGACCAAGGGUUCCUGUCCAACGUUAAUCGGGGCAGGGUGAGUCGACCCCUAAGGCGAGGCCGAAAGGCGUAGUCGAUGGGAAACAGGUUAAUAUUCCUGUACUUGGUGUUACUGCGAAGGGGGGACGGAGAAGGCUAUGUUGGCCGGGCGACGGUUGUCCCGGUUUAAGCGUGUAGGCUGGUUUUCCAGGCAAAUCCGGAAAAUCAAGGCUGAGGCGUGAUGACGAGGCACUACGGUGCUGAAGCGACAAAUGCCCUGCUUCCAGGAAAAGCCUCUAAGCAUCAGGUAACAUUAAAUCGUACCCCAAACCGACACAGGUGGUCAGGUAGAGAAUACCAAGGCGCUUGAGAGAACUCGGGUGAAGGAACUAGGCAAAAUGGUGCCGUAACUUCGGGAGAAGGCACGCUGAUAUGUAGGUGAAGCGACUUGCUCGUGGAGCUGAAAUCAGUCGAAGAUACCAGCUGGCUGCAACUGUUUAUUAAAAACACAGCACUGUGCAAACACGAAAGUGGACGUAUACGGUGUGACGCCUGCCCGGUGCCGGAAGGUUAAUUGAUGGGGUUAGCGGUAACGCGAAGCUCUUGAUCGAAGCCCCGGUAAACGGCGGCCGUAACUAUAACGGUCCUAAGGUAGCGAAAUUCCUUGUCGGGUAAGUUCCGACCUGCACGAAUGGCGUAAUGAUGGCCAGGCUGUCUCCACCCGAGACUCAGUGAAAUUGAACUCGCUGUGAAGAUGCAGUGUACCCGCGGCAAGACGGAAAGACCCCGUGAACCUUUACUAUAGCUUGACACUGAACAUUGAGCCUUGAUGUGUAGGAUAGGUGGGAGGCUUUGAAGUGUGGACGCCAGUCUGCAUGGAGCCGACCUUGAAAUACCACCCUUUAAUGUUUGAUGUUCUAACGUGGGCCCCUUACCGGGGUUGCGGACAGUGUCUGGUGGGUAGUUUGACUGGGGCGGUCUCCUCCUAAAGAGUAACGGAGGAGCACGAAGGUUGGCUAAUCCUGGUCGGACAUCAGGAGGUUAGUGCAAUGGCAUAAGCCAGCUUGACUGCGAGCGUGACGGCGCGAGCAGGUGCGAAAGCAGGUCAUAGUGAUC
rnacentral:rRNA from 1 species